rnacentral:rRNA from 1 species
UACGUAGGGUGCGAGCGUUAAUCGGAAUUACUGGGCGUAAAGCGUGCGCAGGCGGUGAUGCAAGACCGAUGUGAAAUCCCCGGGCUUAACCUGGGAACUGCAUUGGUGACUGCAUUGCUGGAGUAUGGCAGAGGGGGGUGGAAUUCCACGUGUAGCAGUGAAAUGCGUAGAGAUGUGGAGGAACACCGAUGGCGAAGGCAGCCCCCUGGGCCAAUACUGACGCUCAUGCACGAAAGCGUGGGGAGCAAACAGG